UAACUACUCCCUCCGUUCGGAAUUAUUUGUCGCAGAAAUGGAUGUAUCUAGACGUAUUUUAGUUCUAGAUACAUCAAUUUCCGAGACAAGUAAUUCCGAACGGAGGGAGUAGCUA
rfam:Triticum aestivum genome assembly, contig: Triticum_aestivum_CS42_TGACv1_scaffold_342977_4DL